rnacentral:rRNA from 1 species
CGAAGGAUGCAAGCGUUAUCCGGAUUCAUUGGGUUUAAAGGGUGCGUAGGCGGACCUGUAAGUCAGUGGUGAAAUCUCUUUGCUUAACAAAGAAACUGCCAUUGAUACUGCAAGUCUAGAGUAUAGAUGACGUUGGCGGAAUAUGACAUGUAGUGGUGAAAUACUUAGAUAUGUCAUAGAACACCGAUUGCGAAGGCAGCUAACGAAACUAUAACUGACGCUGAGGCACGAAAGUGCGGGGAUCAAACAGGAUUAGAUACCCUGGUAGUCCGCACCGUAAACGAUGAUUACUCGUUGUUGGCGAUAUGACAGUCAGCGACCAAGCGAAAGCGAUAAGUAAUCCACCUGGGGAGUACGCCGGCAACGGUG